UUUUUUUUUUUUUUUUUUUUUUUUUUUUUUUUUUUUUUUUUGUUU
rnacentral:ribozyme from 1 species